rnacentral:tRNA from 1 species
UCCCUAGUGGUCCAGUGGUUAGGACUCGGCACUUCCACUGCAGGGGGCACAGGUUCGAUCCCUGGUUGGAGAA